ACGCUAACGACUCGGUGUACGCCGCGGCAACACCAGCAUCGAGGCGUAUCGUAACGGAGCCUUUCGCCCAGGAAGCGUGUCUGCAGUAUGGACUUCGCCUCAUCAGCAUGGCCUGGCUGUAAGUACACGGCGAUGCACUGGUAGACCGCUGGCUAAAUACAUUAGCCCUGGAGAACAAACCCACGCACCAUCCCUACCAGGUCAGAUCCGUCGAGAUAGACGGAGAGUUGGUUCACAAAACCGUAAAGUUUACUACGGAGGGUCUGUUGUAUGAUGAUGCCGAAAGCAAUCAGCGAGCCCAAAUCCUCUGUGUCAAGUCCUGUGGGAGCGGUGUUCUUGCGCCGAACACGAGUUGUAUGUGUAACCCCCACACGCCCUAUUGUGAACAGUGUGAAAAGGCAUGCACAUGCUUGAACCAGGGCCGGUGUGAUAGCGAGGGUAAAUGCAGCUGCCGAGAAGGAUUCACCGGAGACAAGUGCCAAUUCUCCUUGUGCGAAAGUAACUGGGUGAGAAAGAACUCAGAGUGUCAAUGCAAGGAAGGAGUGUUCGGAGAGCACUGCACAGAAGUAUGCCAUUGCUUGAAUAACGGCCGGUGUAAACAGGACGGCCAAUGCAGCUGCCGGAGAGGAUUCCACG